rnacentral:rRNA from 1 species
GUGCCAGCAGCCGCGGUAAUACGUAGGGUGCGAGCGUUAAUCGGAAUUACUGAGCGUAAAGGGCAUGUAGGCGGUCUAGUAAGCCUGGCGUGAAAGGCCACAGCUCAACUGUGGGAUUGCGUUGGGAACUGCUGGGCUUGAGUUAUGGAGAGGGAGCUAGAAUUCCUGGUGUAGGGGUGAAAUCUGUAGAUAUCAUGAAGAAUACCGAUGGCGAAGGCAAGCUCCUGGCCGAUGACUGACGCUGAGGUGCGAAAGUGUGGGGAUCAAACGGGAUUAGAUACCCUGGUAGUCCACACUGUAA